rnacentral:rRNA from 1 species
UUUGAACGCUGGCGGCAGGCUUAACACAUGCAAGUCGAGCGGAGAGAGGUAGCUUGCUACUGAUCUUAGCGGCGGACGGGUGAGUAAUGCUUAGGAAUCUGCCUAUUAGUGGGGGACAACAUUUCGAAAGGAAUGCUAAUACCGCAUACGUCCUACGGGAGAAAGCAGGGGAUCUUCGGACCUUGCGCUAAUAGAUGAGCCUAAGUCGGAUUAGCUAGUUGGUGGGGUAAAGGCCUACCAAGGCGACGAUCUGUAGCGGGUCUGAGAGGAUGAUCCGCCACACUGGGACUGAGACACGGCCCAGACUCCUACGGGAGGCAGCAGUGGGGAAUAUUGGACAAUGGGCGCAAGCCUGAUCCAGCCAUGCCGCGUGUGUGAAGAAGGCCUUAUGGUUGUAAAGCACUUUAAGCGAGGAGGAGGCUACUUUAGUUAAUACCUAGAGAUAGUGGACGUUACUCGCAGAAUAAGCACCGGCUAACUCUGUGCCAGCAGNCCGCGGUAAUACAGAGGGUGCAAGCGUUAAUCGGAUUUACUGGGCGUAAAGCGCGCGUAGGCGGCUANUAAGUCAAAUGUGAAAUCCCCG